GACAGAGGGUGCAAACGUUGUUCGGAAUUACUGGGCGUAAAGCGCGUGUAGGCGGCUAAGUAAGUCGGGCGUGAAAUCCCACGGCUCAACCGUGGAAGUGCACUCGAAACUGCAUAGCUAGAGUCCUGGAGAGGAAGGUGGAAUGCUUGGUGUAGAGGUGAAAUUCGUAGAUAUCUGGAGGAACACCGGUGGCGAAGGCGGCAUCCUGGACCGGUAUUGACGCUGAUGCGCGAAAGCCAGGGGAGCAAACGGG
rnacentral:rRNA from 1 species